rnacentral:rRNA from 1 species
UACGUAGGGUGCAAGCGUUAAUCGGAAUUACUGGGCGUAAAGCGUGCGCAGGCGGCUUUGCAAGACAGAUGUGAAAUCCCCGGGCUCAACCUGGGAACUGCAUUUGUGAUUGCAAGGCUAGAGUACGGUAGAGGGGGAUGGAAUUCCGCGUGUAGCAGUGAAAUGCGUAGAUAUGCGGAGGAACACCGAUGGCGAAGGCAAUCCCCUGGACCUGUACUGACGCUCAUGCACGAAAGCGUGGGGAGCAAACAGG